CCCUUAGAUGUUCUGGCCGCACGCGCGCUACACUGACGAAGUCAGCGAGCAUGUCCUACGCCGACAGGUGCGGGGAAUCUUGUCAAACUUCGUCGUGAUGGGGAUUGAUUAUUGAAAUUCUUGAUCAUCAACGAGGAAUUCCUAGUAAGCGCAAGUCAGCAGCUUGCGUUGAUUACGUCCCUGCCCUUUGUACACACCGCCCGUCGCUACUACCGAUUGAAUGGUUUAGUGAGAUCUUCGGAUUGGCGCCACUGCGGCUCAGCAAUGGGCUCGGUGGAUGCCGAAAAGUUGAUCAAACUUGAUCAUUUAGAGGAAGUAAAAGUCGUAACA
rnacentral:rRNA from 1 species